rnacentral:lncRNA from 1 species
UGGAUAUUAACAACAUUCCACAAUUUAUUACAGACCAUAUCAAACAUAAUAUAUCAGGUAUUUUACUGCGAAUAGUCUAGAAUUUUAAAUAAUUAAAAAUAUAAAAGUGUAAAUUAAUUAUAAUAGGCCCGAUGGAGAAGGAAGUUGGGCUAUCAAAGCAGGACGGUAGAGAAACUGUCACCGAAAAAAUUAAAAUUGAGACUGUCAGCCUCGAGAGUGAAUUAAAAUCAUAUAAUCCUAAAAUUAUUACAGCUUUUCUAAUAUAACAAUUAUUAAAUCAGGAUAUCAUGUCAUAUUAUACUAAAAUACAUGUCAUAUCAUAAUUCAGAAAGAAAAUACAAUUGAAAUACUUAUGGGAUGAGUGCCUCAGCAGAACCCUAACCCGCAACUAGUAGCCUUCCGGAUCUCUUACUCCAAUAGGUCUGGCGCCCAGAGAGCGAAGCUCAACCAGAGUCCUUAAAUCUAGCAUGAACACUUGAUUCCCAAAUAAGCCGGCGCCCAGAGAGCAACGCUCGACCAGGGGCCUCCCUCUGGCAGUCAAACUUCCACAGCCUAAAAAGUUAUACUCGACCAGGGCAAAACCCAAAAAUAAUCUUUACUACAUGUCUCUGAUUAAUACCGUUGUGCACGCGGUCCUGAUGCAAUCCAUCAGGUGGCAUGUUCUAUUGUCGCCUCAUCCAAAUGUCACAAUCAUAACAUAUAUAAUAAUUAUAAAUAAUAUAAAUAUAGGCAAAUAUAAUUUAUUCAAUAACAUAUUGAGAAUUAAAAUCUAGUAGUCUCAAGUGAAGCAAACAUGCAAAUUAUGUGUAAUAAUAACAAUAAUAUUAAAAUAACAUUAAAUAUGAUAUUGAUAAUAACGAAAUUAAAUUUAGUAAUAAUAAUACUAAUAAUAUUCAUAAUAAUUAUUGAUCAAUUGAAAUUACUCAUAAUAACAAUAAUAAUAAUUUUAAUAUUUAUUAAUCAAUUAGUAUCGCAUUUAAUUUAGAUACGACAAAGGCACAGUUGAUUAUAUGACUUUAACUCACAGUUCUGUCGUGCUCUGCAGUCUGCUCCUACGUCUCGGGUGGAGCUGGCUGGAUGGACGGGUUAUCUAUUCAUGAAAAUACUCAAUUAAUAAGAUAUUUUUAAUUUUUCCUAGCCCUAGACUCCUAGAUCAGACUGCCUAAGAAAAUUCAGACUCGAAAAUUCUACCGAAAAUUCGACAGAACCUCCUCUAAAAUAUGGAUGUUUACCCACUGUAUAACGGGUCCAGAACCUGCUAGAAAUACUUCAAAUAUUAUGCAAUUAAUUAACGGGAGUCAAGCGACUAAAACUACAUUAUUUUUUCCGACUCCACAACACACCACGAUUCACAAAACAACGCAAUAAUUAAUCAUACCCAUUACUUGUAGCAUUUAUAUUUAAGUCACAAAUAAUUAAAUCUAAUUAAAUUAAAUUAUCCAAAAUUGAUAAUUAAUAGCAAUAAUAUUUUUUAAGAUUAUAAAAUAAUUUUUAAGUCUCAAUAAAAUUAUACCGAACCGAAAAUCCAAAAAUAUAUGCGUCCGAAAAACACCAGGGUUCAAAAGCUGAUAUUGCCAACAGUGUCAGAAUUUGAAUCUGGAAGUGCCCACGCGAAGCUUGAGUUGCAGAGAGUUCGAAAACACAAAAGCUUUGCUGAAAACUCGCCGGAAGACACUAGAUCGUGGCCGGAAAGGCGCUGUUCCGGUGAGGCUCCACCGAGGCUGUUGGCGACAGAAAACGAUGGGGAAAGCUUGGCUUGGGGGUUUUCAAUAAUGAGGAGCUUGAUUCCGGAGUCGAACAAGCGAUUGGUGGAGGAUAGGAGCUAGUUCGGCGUUGGGGUACACUUUUCUCCUCCGGUCGACGUCUGCAGCGGGGGAAAGGAGAAGAGAAAGCAGCAUGGUGGCGGGGAGGGGAAAGAAGGACGUUGGUGGCGGCAACAACUUGUUCAGUUUAGGAAAGGGAAAAAGAAGGGCUGUCGGUGACGGGGGAGAAAAGGGAGGAAGAAGGAUGGAAAGAUAAAGAAGGGGGAAAGGAAAAGGGAAGAAAAAU